rnacentral:piRNA from 1 species
AAGAUGUAAUCGGUGUAGAGA